rnacentral:rRNA from 1 species
UACGGAGGAUGCAAGCGUUAUCCGGAUUCAUUGGGUUUAAAGGGUGCGCAGGCGGGGGAAUAAGUCAGUGGUGAAAAGCUGCCGCUCAACGGUAGUCUUGCCGUUGAUACUGUUUUUCUUGAGUAUGGUCAAGGAAGGCGGAAUGUGUAAUGUAGCGGUGAAAUGCUUAGAUAUUACACAGAACACCAAUUGCGAAGGCAGCUUUCUGGCCCAUUACUGACGCUGAGGCACGAAAGCGUGGGGAUCGAACAGGAUUAGAUA